UUUUGAAUAAAAAAAAUAUAUGAAAAAAUAUUAUUUCAUUUAAUGUUUGUUGUACAAGAGAAAUAAAAUACAAGACACAUGCAUGAAAUAUACAGUAAUAGUACAUAAUCUGUCCCUGUCAUAAAUUGAAGUUGUAAACAACAGAGAGGCUAGAAGAAUAAAUAUGGAGCUAAUUGAAGCAACAACAUAGCUUUUUCAGUCUCUGAAAUUUUGAUUUGGCAGGAAAGAGAGAUUUUUUAUUGCAACAUAAAAGGAAGGACAGGUAGGUCGAACGAACCAUCUCAAUAAGAAGAUAUAGCUGCCAAAUGAAUAAAAGGAUUGGUAGAGAAGCAACUGCAGCGAUAGAAAUAGCAAAUCCGAUAUUUCUAUGCUUGAAAAUUAAGAAAAAAGCUAAAACAAAGGCACCCAUCAUUGUUAUUAUUGCUAUGAAAAGGAAUAAGAGUCCAAGGAUUAACUUGUUGGGCAAUGACUUGAGAAAAUCAUCCAUUGAGAAUCGAGAAGUAAGAAUGGAUAAGAAGGAUAGUAUCGAAGAGGUUGAGAAUGCUGAAGAUACUCCAUCCGCUACGGCAAAAAUUUUAAACAAAGUAUCGCGAACAAAAAUAGGAAUCCCAGUAUCUUGUCCAUUACCUCCAGGUACGGUAAAAGCUGCUGCAAAAACAACAGUGGCAAUUAGGGUUGCCACAAGCAUGCAUGAAUUUGCUGUAUUUAUCAUCCAUUUCUCUGCUGCUUCCCUUAAUUCCUUGUGCUCUUUCAGGAAUACAUCUCUCGGAGUCUUCCCAUCUACAUUUUUUGCUGCAAUUUGCCCUGGUCUAACAACCUUCUUCACUACCUACAAAUUUUGCAUACGGAUAUCAAAUUGAAAGGAUUAGAGAUGAGAUCCCUAAUAAAUAAAGUUUGACACUUUUAAAAUCAAUAUAUGUAUUAAUAACAAUCAUAAUAUUAUGUUUGUUAUUAAAAAAUGUGUCUACACAUUUUCAAUGAAAAUGUAAUUCAUUAUAAAUGGGUGUGAUUUACUAAUAAUAAUAAACUUAAUUUGCGAUAAUGCCUAAACUUCACAAACUGCAAAUUAAUAAGAUUAAUGGCUCUUGUGAAAGAUGCCUCUCCUUAUAUAUAUGUGUGUGUAUGUGUGUUUCCUCCGAGAAGUAAGAAUUUAUAGUAAGUUACCUCAAACCACUGUAGCUCACGCUGUAGUUGUAGAGCUGCUCCUGGCACAACAUUUACUCGACUUUCUUCUUGUGGCAUUUUUCCAGCCAAGUGCAACAUGUUAUUGCCAUCCUUAUCCUCAUAUAUGUUAAUUAAGUUCAUCAUACCCAACUCAAAAAUUAGCAUGAAGAUUUUCUCAUGUCGAUUCAAAAUAGCUUUAUGAAAAAUGGUACACUGGUCGUCAUCAACCUUAAAUACUAAAUGUGGAUAUUUACGUAUAAGUAUGGUUAGGAACUCUACGUUUCCAUUUUCAGCUGCAAUAAAUAUUAGUCGCCCAGAAGGUACAAUCAUAAACUGAGAAACUUUGUCCUCAUCGUCUAAUAUUACUUUCUCCCAAAGCUGUUCGACUAGCUCAAGCCCUUGUUUGCGCUUUUCUUUUUUCGACAAGAAAUUUAUGCAGUAACUCCAGAUCCCCGUAGAAGUUUGAAUUGAAGGAAUACAAGGCUUUUCAGCAAACGCAUGCAAUGCUGAUCUCUUUCCAUCUUUAUCUUUCAUAGUGGCCAACUCUGAGUGAUGCUUUAUCAUCUUCAGUGCAAUAUCGUAUAUAUCAGACUCUACCAAAGCGAUAAGCAAACUAAUGAGGUCAUCAUCUUCUAGUUUGUCUUUCUCAUUAGCUUGAUGAUGGUUGUACAGUUCACGCACCAUUUCUGCCUGGCCAGCCAAAGCUGCCAUAUAAAUUGGUAAGAAAUUUUGUCUGCCUCUCUUCGUUGGCAAAGCAUCAUUCUUCCUCAUCAUAAUUUGAGCAAUUUUGACAUUUCCAGACAGAGCAGCAUAGCAAAAAGCUGUAUUUCCGUUCUCCUUUGGCUGUUGGCCUUGGUCCUCUGAUUGUGAAACUGCAGGUGUAGCUUGGAUUGGGUCCUCUACUUGUCGCACUAUUGUUACUAUGGCUGUGGCCUGGUCAUUUUCUUGUUGAGCUGCAAUUGC
rnacentral:misc_RNA from 1 species